UCAAGAUGGCCGCUUUCGCAUAUCUCUGAAUGUAGGAUCCCUAGUGCGGGGCUCGCGUAUACUUCGUUUUCGGAAACUAAGGCCUGGUUAUUGUUAUUCUGCCAUUUCUCCUACAAAUACGCUAUUCAGCAGGAUGUGCUGAGUCCCAAUUGGCUAUCGCAGAAACAACGAGUAGCAGCAGCGAUUUCUCCACUACCGGUUGAGAGGAUUAUGGAGAUUCAGCUGCGCAGGAAGCAGGACAAAGUCCGAAGGAUGGAGACCAAAUUGAGACUGGCGCAAGAGGUACACGAGCGGUAUGAACAUCAAACGCAGACUACGGCCUACUUCAACGAUAGUUCGAGUUCGAGUACGGCUGCCACGAUGAAAACAACAAAUGGAAGGUUUACGUGGCGCCAAGAAACGAUAUUUCAGGUGACAUCCCAAGCAACCAGAAGUUCGGAUAAGAAGGGCUAUUUUGGCUUAAUCAGCUCUCAUUUUAAGUAUUUUUUGUAUGUAACGGAACUUUAAGUGAACUUUAAAGUUUCGUUAAGGAUGCUUGGAACUUGAUGUGAACCAUAGUGAACCAAUUAGUUCGGUUAAGAGUAAAUUUAAGUAAAAUCUGAACUUCUGGUUGCUUGGGAUGGUGGUUUGGUCGUUUCGAGUAAUAUAGAUCCGUUGAUCAGUCAGUGGAACUGAAGGGCUUCAGAUAUCAGCGACGAGAGCUAAACAUUGCUGAACGCCGUCUACAACGUACUCUCUCAAAUUUUAUGCCUUCGACUAAUACCUAUUGCAAGAGAGUUCGUGGGGCAGCAUCAGGCGGGAUUAUGGGCGGACCAGACCAGGUGUUCACCGUACGCCAGAUAUCGCAGAAAUGCCUUGAAUACAAUGUACAUCAUCUAUUCAUCGACUUCAAAGCCGCUAACAAGAUGACCGCAAGAUGAUGGUCUUUCGUGCCUGCUAUUCAACAACGCUUUGGAGGGAGUCAUACGAAGAUCAGGCAUUGACACGAGUGGUUCGAUUUUCACGAAGCCCAUUCAGUUAUUUGGUUUCGCCGACGACAUUGAUGUUAUGGCAUGUAACUUUGAGAAGCCUACAUCAGACAUGAUAGGAAGAGGUUCAAGAGAAGACAAUAAGCCACCCACCACGAGUUUGUUCCGGUGGCGACGAAAAUGAGAUGGUAGAAGAAUGAUCGAGUAGAGUUCGCCGGCGUACCGAACUUUUUUUACUAUCUACAAAACGCUUAUUUGACCUAUAUGGCCAGAGAAGGGAACCCCCUCACGAAGAAUAACAAAUACUAGAGUUCCCUCUCUACACCACGGCAGGCUACUGACUGAUACUUCUGCCAGCAGCUGCAGUUCUCUUUAUUCAACAAUAGGUAUAUACAAUAAUCCAUAACAAAUUUCCUUAAUCUAUACCAAAGAGCAACUACAACUAACCGGCGCCCGCUUCUUAUCCAUCUUCGAUCUACAGCGAAGCGUCGCACACUACCUGAUAUUCCAACACUAUAGUCCUCACAAGAUCUGGACGAUGCUUGGAGUUUUCGAAAAGAAAAUGUUGCAUACCAUCUACCGUGGGGUCCAGAUGGCGGGCGGAACGUGACGGAGGAGAAUGAACCACGAGUUACAUCAGCGAGCAAGGUAGAACGAUCAGGCUCUCACUCUCAUCGAAGCACACUAUAGCCAUUUACGAACCUCCUUUUAUUGUGCAAGCAUAAAAUGUAUAUAUGGUCGGUGAUAGGCCAAACCACACUAAACACCUAUUGCGUUGAGGAACAUGCGACACUUUUAUGAUUAAUAAAGGAU